UGGCGCGCCGCUAUGGAGGAG
rnacentral:misc_RNA from 1 species